rnacentral:lncRNA from 1 species
GCACUUAAUGUUUUAUCAAAAAUCACAAACUUAAGGUUUAGAGUUAAAGGGUGGGGUUUAGAAUUUAGGGUUUAGGGUUUAGGGUUUAGGGUUUAGAGUUUAGGGUUUAGGGUUUAGGGUUUAGGGUUUAGGGUUUAGAGUUUAGGGUUUAAGGUUUAGAGUUUAGGGUUUAGGGUUUAUGGUUUAGAAUUGAGAAAUGAGGUUUUGGGGAUAAGAUAUAAACUUAGAAAGGUGCUAUUUUGGUCAUUUUAGUUUUUGAGUGC